CAAGCAGCACUGAAAUAGGAAGGUUUAAACGGUAGAAAUCAUCAGACUCUUUAUGACCUAGAAACAGCCACUCCAGGUCUGCUCCAGGUCAAACUGCCUCCAGGGCAGGCUGAACCCUCCCUUCCACUGUUAAGGGGUGUUAACUGGAGACAUGGCCGGAUGUCUGACACCAACACAGGAAGUAAGAAUCUGAAUGCAUGCCAGCCCUACCCUCACCCCAAGCCACAGCAAGGGGCUGGCACUCACCUGAACGCAGAACCGCAGUGGACAGACCAUCUUGUGACCCUGGACACCCUGAUCUCUUCUAGGAAAGGAAGACCAACAUGAACAUUGAAGAUGGGCCCCCAAUGGACACGUCUGCAAUGUGUGAGGAUCAUUAAGGAAGAGGGGCAGAACGAUGUCAAUGGCCAGAGGCCCAGGAAGUCAGCUGUGAGACUGUGUCUCCCAGACAGAAACCCCACCCAAGAUACCUCGACAAUAUGGUUGCCAGAAUAAGACCCGAACAAGGGCAAAAGCAAUCGUCACACCAACCAAAAAGAGGGAAAUAUCUCAGAGCUCCACUCACAGAUGAAGAAUUACAGAACAGAGAAUGAAUCAGCUUGCUACACAGAUGGAUAAGGUGUCCCCCAAGAUGUUCUUGAUGAGAAAGCAUGUGCGUCUCCCCUAUACUUUGCUAACAGUAUCUCUACGGAACAAUACUUUGCUGACAGUAUCUGUAUGGAACAUUGGGAAGCUAAUUCAAACAGGAAUCCUCAGGGUGCUUCUUCGUGUUUCCAAGGGCCUCUCAUUUACCAUAAGAGUUAAAAUAGCCUUGGUAAAUAUACAGCUUGCAAUUGUUUUAUUAUGUUUAUCUAUUGCUGGGCGGGGGAGGUACACGUGGCCACCAUGUGCAUGUGUGAACUUCUGAAGACAACUUUUAGGAGUUGAUUUUUCCCCCCUUCUCCCCCAUGGGUUACAGGGAUCAAGCCCCGGUCAUCAGGCUUGGCAAUGUCUCCACUUGCUCAACCAUCUUGACAUCCCCAAACAUCCCUUGUUUCCAAGGUCAGGAAAAUCUGGAGGCAGUCUGAAUGCAUAAACUCUCUUCCUCCCUAAAUCAUUCAUUCUCAUAAAGCUGUCAGAGGGCACAAUCAAUUGAAUCUAGCAUUGAGCUUUAAGCUUGAAUCAGGUAAAAACUCACCCACCUUACUGAAACAAGUUGUAUACUGUGAUUGUUUGCUAGGCAGCAACACUAAUGAAGAUUUCAGAUUUUCUCUCCCAUUUAUUUAGUGUGUGAGUCUCUCCGUGUGUGCGCAUACAUCGCAGGCCACUGUGUGGGAGUCAAAGGAUAAUUUGCUUGCAGUGUUCUCUGCUUCCCCCAUGUGUGUUCCAGGAAUGGAACUGAGCGCAGCAGGUUCGGUGGCAAGAACCAUUAACUGCUGAGCAGUCUCUAGGUUCUGGCCCAGCUCUCAGAUUUUGACAUCAAGUGGUGAAGAGUUCAGAGUCCUGUGUUGGUGGAGGAUAACAGAGGAAGGUUGUGUAUUGGUGGAAAUGGAUAAAUCCUGAUUCUGCUGAACUUGACAGGUUGAGUGACGCAAACUCUUCGUCUAACAUCACAUCGUUUGUGGUCAUUUUCUUUCCUUGUGACAUUUCUGUCUGGUUUGAUAUCAGUGAUGCUAGAAUUGGCUAGUGAAGUUUCUUGGAUCUGGACUUCUCGUUAUGGAAAAAAAAUGUUGCUGUCUGAAUGUCAAAUGCUUGUGGGACAGUUCAACCAUGACACCUGAGCAGCGGAGAGUUUUGACAUGGAACAGGGUGUUCCAAGAGAAUGUUCUUGAACACUCUAACCUUUCAUUAGCAAGAAAGGAAACAUUUUGCCGGGCAGUGGUGGUGCAUGCCUUUAAUCCCAGCACUUGGGAGGCAGAGGCAGGUG